rnacentral:rRNA from 1 species
GACGAACGCUGGCGGCGCGCCUAACACAUGCAAGUCGAACGGAGCUUAGAGAGCUUGCUUUUUAAGCUUAGUGGCGAACGGGUGAGUAACGCGUGAGUAACCUGCCCUAGAGUGGGGGACAACAGUUGGAAACGACUGCUAAUACCGCAUAAGCCCACGGUACCGCAUGGUACUGAGGGAAAAGGAGCAAUCCGCUUUGAGAUGGCCUCGCGUCCGAUUAGCUAGUUGGUGAGGUAACGGCCCACCAAGGCGACGAUCGGUAGCCGGACUGAGAGGUUGAACGGCCACAUUGGGACUGAGACACGGCCCAGACUCCUACGGGAGGCAGCAGUGGGGAAUAUUGCACAAUGGGGGAACCCUGAUGCAGCGACGCCGCGUGGAGGAAGAAGGUCUUCGGAUUGUAAACUCCUGUUGUUGAGGAAGAUAAUGACGGUACUCAACAAGGAAGUGACGGCUAACUACGUG